AUAAGAUAGUAUUUCUCACGUCGCCUACUGAGAGGGAAUCAAAACAAAAUUAAAAAUACCCAGAUUAUAUUUGUUUAAAGAGUUUCAUUUUGGCAAGCGGGAAAGUAGAUAAUUAUGGACAAUGAUGACUCAAUCUGCAUUAUUCCAGAUACACCAAGCUCAUUUCCAGCACAGGGAAAAAUUCAUGUUAAAAGAACUAACUCAGUGAUAAAUAUAUCAAGUGAUGACUCAUUUAGAUCUUCAGUAAGUUCUGAUAUAAACCAGCAGAAUGAAAUAAAAUCGACUGGUCAAAGGACGUCUCCAGUACUGACCAAAGCCGAUGAUGAUCGCAAUAUAAAUUUAGUUAAGAACAGAAAUAGGUCAGACAGCCCAACAUUUAACUGUAGAAGACAGCUCUUGCAUGUUAAAACAUCACAUGUCAGUAAGACGUACAAA